GACGAACGCUGGCGGCGUGCCUAACACAUGCAAGUCGAACGGAAAGGCCCUGCUUUUGUGCGGUGCUCGAGUGGCGAACGGGUGAGUAACACGUGAGUAACCUGUCCUUGACUUUGGGAUAACUUCAGGAAACUGGGGCUAAUACCGGCAAGGAGCUCCUGCUGCAUGGUGAGGGUUGGAAAGUUUCGGCGGUUGGGGAUGGACUCGCGGCUUAUCAGCUUGUUGGUGGGGUAGUGGCUUACCAAGGCCUUGACGGGUAGCCGGCCUGGGAGGGUGACCGGCCACAUUAGGACUGAGAUACGGCCCAGACUCGUACGGGAGGCAACAGUGGAGAAUAUUGCACAAGGGGCGGAAGCCUGAUGCGGCAACGCCGCGUGCGGGAUGACGGCCUUGGGGUUGUGAACCGCUGUCGCCUGUGACGAAGCGUGAGUGACGGUAAUGGGUAAAGAAGCACCGGCUAACUACGUG
rnacentral:rRNA from 1 species